AAAUCUUCCUUACCCCCCCCUCCUUCAAGGUUUAUUUUUAAUACAAUAGCUAUUUUAGUAUGCAUUACUAGAACUUUUCGAUCUGUCAGCGAGAUCCAACAAAAGGUUUUACCCUGAAUGUUUCGAAAAUACGGCUCGAUAGUAUGCACCAAAAUUUCGUAUAUGAUCUCUGCGCGUUGUGUCUUUUUGUUUGCCUCUCCAAAUCGUCAAAAUCUUGUGAACCUGGUCAAUAUCUCGCAAAGUUCUUAGAUGAUGUUUGUCAUCCCUGCCCAGAUAAAUUGGAGAAAUGCAAACAUCAAGGAAUGGACUCAAAAGAAUGCGAAGAUUCUUGUAAAUCCUCAUUUUCAACACCUGUUUCAUUGAAUACCACGAUUGAGACAUCGUCAGCAAGUACAAAAACCUACAUUAUGACGACCAGUUCUAAACUCUCUACCACCGAAAACAGUUACAAACUCCAGACAAAAAUUCAUGGGAGACAAAGGCUCCAUCUACAUACAGUAGAAUUCAUAGUUAUGAGACGUCGACUACUACCGAUACAGAUGACAAGUGGAUCAUUCCUGUUUCAGUUACACCUGCUAUCGUUAUCUUGCUGUUAUUAGUGAUAUUGUUACGUAAAAACUUACGAAGAUGGAGCGAGUUCGCACGAAAAUUUGCAAAGGAAUUUUUGGAAAAUUGAUGUGUGAAUGUUCUUAGGACAAGUGUGUUUUUCUAUCCGCUCGUGUUAUAUCAGUGACUAGUAAAUACACUAGUACAAAUUUUGAGAUAACAAAGAUUUAAUCUUGUGAAAUAAGAUUUCAUCUCGGAAAAUGAAAGCUGAUUCAACAAAUCACUAUCACUAACAUGUAAUAAGAAACAAAUAAGACAUUUUAUAGGAUGGUAUUUAUAUUAAUUACCCAUAAUGUCAAUGCCAUAUUAAAUAUUUAGGAAAGACAUUUCAGAAUACAUCAUGAGUGUAAUAGUAGGCUUGUAACUUUAAAAAUCACGUGACCACUUUCUGAA